rnacentral:rRNA from 1 species
ACACAGGAAGGCAUCUUCUCUGUGUGGAAAGCUCCGGCGGUGCAGGAUGAGCCCGCGGCCUAUCAGCUUGUUGGUGGGGUGAUGGCCUACCAAGGCGACGACGGGUAGCCGGCCUGAGAGGGCGACCGGCCACACUGGGACUGAGACACGGCCCAGACUCCUACGGGAGGCAGCAGUGGGGAAUAUUGCACAAUGGGCGAAAGCCUGAUGCAGCGACGCCGCGUGAGGGAUGACGGCCUUCGGGUUGUAAACCUCUUUCAGCAGGGAAGAAGCGCAAGUGACGGUACCUGCAGAAGAAGCACCGGCUAACUACGUGCCAGCAGCCGCGGUAAUACGUAGGGUGCGAGCGUUGUCCGGAAUUAUUGGGCGUAAAGAGCUCGUAGGCGGCUUGUCACGUCGGAUGUGAAAGCCCGGGGCUUAACCCCGGGUCUGCAUUCGAUACGGGCAGGCUAGAGUUCGGUAGGGGAGAUCGGAAUUCCU